rnacentral:rRNA from 1 species
AGAGCGAACGCUGGCGGCAGGCCUAACACAUGCAAGUCGAACGAACUCUUCGGAGUUAGUGGCGGACGGGUGAGUAACACGUGGGAACGUGCCUUUAGGUUCGGAAUAACUCAGGGAAACUUGUGCUAAUACCGAAUGUGCCCUUCGGGGGAAAGAUUUAUCGCCUUUAGAGCGGCCCGCGUCUGAUUAGCUUGUUGGUGGGUAAUGGCCCACCAAGGCUACGAUCAGUAGCUGGUCUGAGAGGAUGACCAGCCACAUUGGGACUGAGACACAGCCCAAACUCCUACGGGAGGCAGCAGUGGGAAUCUUGCGCAAGUGGGACGAAAGCCUGACGCAGCCAUGCCGCGUGAUGAUGAAGGUCUUAGGAUUAGUAAAUACUUUACACCGGUAGAAGUAUUAAGUGUAACUGUAGCCGAAGAAGAACGCCCGACUUAACUCGUA